rnacentral:rRNA from 1 species
GUCGAGGGGUAUGGUUCUUCGGAACCAGAGACCGGCGCACGGGUGCGUAACGCGUAUGCAAUCUGCCUUUCACAGAGGGAUAGCCCAGAGAAAUUUGGAUUAAUACCUCAUAGUAUAGCGACAUCGCAUGAUGAUGCUAUUAAAGUCACAACGGUGAAAGAUGAGCAUGCGUCCCAUUAGCUAGUUGGUAAGGUAACGGCUUACCAAGGCAACGAUGGGUAGGGGUCCUGAGAGGGAGAUCCCCCACACUGGUACUGAGACACGGACCAGACUCCUACGGGAGGCAGCAGUGAGGAAUAUUGGUCAAUGGGCGCAAGCCUGAACCAGCCAUGCCGCGUGCAGGAUGACGGUCCUAUGGAUUGUAAACUGCUUUUGCACAGGAAGAAACACUGAUUCGUGAAUCAGCUUGACGGUACUGUGAGAAUAAGGAUCGGCUAACUCCGUACCAGCAGCCGCGGUAAUACGGAGGAUCCAAGCGUUAUCCGGAAUCAUUGGGUUUAAAGGGUCCGUAGGCGGUCUGGUAAGUCAGUGGUGAAAGCCCAUCGCUCAACGGUGGAACGGCCAUUGAUACUGCUGGACUUGAAUUAUUAGGAAGUAACUAGAAUAUGUAGUGUAGCGGUGAAAUGCUUAGAGAUUACAUGGAAUACCAAUUGCGAAGGCAGGUUACUACUAAUGGAUUGACGCUGAUGGACGAAAGCGUGGGUAGCGAACAGGAUUAGAUACCCUGGUAGUCCACGCCGUAAACGAUGGAUACUAGCUGUUGGAAGCAAUUUCAGUGGCUAAGCGAAAGUGAUAAGUAUCCCACCUGGGGAG